rnacentral:lncRNA from 1 species
UCAGAGUGAAGGGAAAUAUCCAAAAGGCCCUGGAGAACAGGUGACUGGUAACGAAGCCAAAGCAGGAUGAGGGGCCUGCCACCUGCACGGCACUGAGCUUGCAGAAAACCACAAAGAAAGGAGGAGAAGAUGGCUGAACACCACCAGUCAAAACCGGUUGAAGGCAACACGGCAGUCUGAUUUGACCUGACAUGGACACCACAGCCCAUUAUGCGCUCAUUGUAAUAUAUUACCAUAUUAUAGAACACACCCACCGACGCCAUGACAGUUUACAACUGCCAUGGCAACAGCAGGACAUAAC